AUUGAACGCUGGCGGCAGGCCUAACACAUGCAAGUCGAACGAGUGGCGGACGGGUGAGUAAUGUCUGGGAAACUGCCCGGUGGAGGGGGAUAACUACUGGACACGGUAGCUAAUACCGCAUACCAUCGGAUGUGCCCAUAUGGGAUUGGCUAGUAGGUGGGGUAACGGCUCACCUAGUCGACGAUCCCUAGCUGGUCGGAGAGGAUGACCAGCCGCACUGGAACUGAGACCAGGUCCAGACUCCCACGAGAGGCAGCAGUGGGGAAUAUUGCACAAUGGGGGCAAGCUCGAUGCAGCCAUGCCGCGUGUAUGAAGAAGGCCUUCGGGUUGUAAAGUACUUUCAGCGAGGAGGCGUUACUCGCAGCAGAAGCACCGGCUAACUCCGUGCCAGCCGCCGCGGUAAUAC
rnacentral:rRNA from 1 species